GUGUUUAAGCCUUGUUUGAUCCCACCAAGACACACUCCAGCAACACUACUGGUAUUAAAAUAUAACUUUUACUUUCUACAGAUCUUUGCUAAAUUUCCAAACCAAACUAAACCCCAGAUCGAUAAACCCUGUUCAAGGGUGCUUUUAUGAAGAAUCUGUGUAUAUAUGUAUAUCAAUUAAGAUGUAAAUAAACUGUAGUGUUGCAGAAGAAGCUGGGGAUGGUUCGAAAUCAGGGAAGAAUUGAAGAUAAACUAAGUUAGCCAAAGGCCUAAUCGAUAUGGGUCGAUAUGAAUUAAGCAUCGAUUGUGGGAUUUAUUGGUCUAAUAUGUACUGACAUCAUGACGGGGUACGUGAUGCGAGUGCUGAGCACUUAUCUGACCGACGCUUGGGGGAAUAACUUCACUCACUAGGCAGCCAUUGUCAAUAUGUGGGAAGGCUUGUCUAAGAUGCUGCCUUUGGCGAUUGCCCUCGUUUCUUCUUUGUUUCUUGAUCCAUUGCUUUAAUUUUCCCUCUUCUAUGCACCAUACCUUAUGCCUUUGUAAGCAUUCUCUUACGAUUCUCUAAGGGUGUAUUUGUUCGGGGGUUUGAAUUUUGGAUUGAAAUUUGAAUAAUAGAUAUUUUGAAUUUGAAUAGUUAUAUGAUGUAUGUAAAUAGGCGUUGAUGUGAUAUUUUGAGAAUA